rnacentral:rRNA from 1 species
GACGAACGCUGGCGGCGUGCUUAACACAUGCAAGUCGAACGGUGAAGCCCUUCGGGGUGGAUCAGUGGCGAACGGGUGAGUAACACGUGAGCAACCUGCCCCUGACUCUGGGAUAACUACCGGAAACGGUGGCUAAUACCGGAUAUGACGCCCUGUCGCAUGGUGGGGUGUGGAAAGUUUUUCGGUCAGGGAUGGGCUCGCGGCCUAUCAGCUUGUUGGUGGGGUGAUGGCCUACCAAGGCGACGAAGGGUAGCCGGCCUGAGAGGGUGACCGGCCAAACUGGGACUGAGACACGGCCCAGACUCCUACGGGAGGCAGCAGUGGGGAAGAUUGCGCAAUGGGCGAAAGCCUGACGCAGCGACGCCGCGUGAGGGAUGAAGGCCUUCGGGUUGUAAACCUCUUUCAGCAGGGAAGAAGCGAAAGUGACGGUACCUGCAGAAGAAGCACCGGCUAACUACGUGCCAGCCGCCGCCGUAAAAC